UUUCCGUAGGUGAACCUGCGGAAGGAUCAUUAUUGUAUAACCGAGGUGCGAGGGCUGUCGCUGACCCGAAAGGUCGUGCACGCCUGAGUGCCCUCACACACAUCCAUCUCACCCCUAUGUGCACCACCGCGUGGGUCCCCCUUUGGCUUGUUCGGAGGGGGGCUUACGUUUUCACACAAACUUUGUAUGCAGUGUAGAAUGUAUUUUUUGUUUUUGCGAUCACGCAAUCAAUACAACUUUCAACAACGGAUCUCUUGGCUCUCGCAUCGAUAAGACGCAGC
rnacentral:misc_RNA from 1 species